CAACAAGCCCAAUGAGGGGAAAGCAGCGAACCCCAAAAUGGUGAGCGGUCUUCCCAGCACUGCCGAUGCAUGUCAGCAGACCAUGCCUACUAACAAGCAGCAGAAUGGACCUUCCAACCAAAGACGAAGAUUUAAUCCACAGUAUCACAACAGGCUAAAUGGUCCAGCCAAGUCACAGGGCAGUGGUAAUGAAGCUGAUCCCAUGGUGAAGAGCAACAACCGACAUGAACACAGAAGACAGCCACAUAAUGGUUUUCGUCCCAAAAACAAAGGUGGUGCCAAAAACCAAGAGGCCCCCUUGGGGACAAAGGCCCCAGAGGCCCCACCACAUUCUGAAAAGGCCCGUCGAAGGCAGCACGCUGCAGACAACUUAGAGACCAGGCCUUUCCGGGGUAAUGUUGGUAGGGUUUCACAGUGCAAUCUUUGUCCCACUAGAAUAGAAGUUUCCACAGAGGCCACGGUUCUCUCAGUCCCAGCUGUGACGCUGGUGGCCUGAGCUGGGAAGGAAGAGAGCAGGUUUUGCCUGGUUUUGGUUCCCUGCCCAAGGUGCUGACCCAAUUCGCUGCCAAAAGAGAGUCAAUCAGAAUAUACAAACCUGUAUGUUUGUGUCGUUCUCUCGCAAUCAUUUUUACUAAUCCUAGUACUCUGCUCUAGCUUGCUUCAUAACUCCCAUGGCUUUGCUUGAUCUGUUGUCGCUUCUCCUCAUCAAGACUUUGCAUCAUGUUAGCCAGCCAGUAUUUACCCAUUGUUAGGAAAAUCGAGAUGUGGCUGAAGAUCAGAGGCUCAGUUAGCAACCUACGUUGUAGCUGUGAUGUCGACCCAUUGGUUGUCUUUAGAGAGUUAAUGUUGAAACAAGAAAUUCUUGAUCAGACAAACGUGAUCUGCUGAAGACACAUGUGCUUUUGUAGAAUUUAACAUCUGGUGUUUUUCUGAAAUAUUAUAUAAAUAUAUAUAUAAACAUAUAUUGCUUUAUUUGAAACAAAUUAAAAUAUGCUGCAUUUGACAC
rnacentral:lncRNA from 1 species